UUCAGGUUUGGCCCAAUUCAUCACUGGAAUUCCUUUAUUCUUCCUACAAGCUCAACCCAUUCGAGUUGGGCUUUCCUUUCCCUCUUUAUUUAUUUAUUUCUUUAUUUUUCCUUUCAUUAGAUUCAAUCCACUAAAAUUUUAGACCCCUCACCAAGCCCACUUUACUUAUGGACUUUAUGCAUCAGAGAAGGUGGAUAAAACUUCUUAAGGACUAUGAU
rnacentral:lncRNA from 1 species